AUGGUCAUAUCACUUGAAACACCAGUUCCCAUAUGAUCACCAAAAUUAAGCAAUGCCAAGCCUGAUCAGUACCUAGAUUGGUGACCGUUUGGGAAUAUCAGGUGUUAUA